AGAAAACAAACAGCAAAAUACAUAAACGGAGGGAUUGCGACAAGCGACGCACUUUGGGGAAAAGUAAUAACAUCGUGCGGCCUUUUGUGACGCCGCACGAUGUUCGGUAGUGGAGGAAACCGGAGAAAACCCACGCAGGCACGGGGAGAACAUGCAAACCACACGGGCGGAGCCGGGAUUGAACCUCGAACCUUGGAACUGUGAGGCCAACACUUUCCGGCGAUACCAGCCAAGAAUAAACAAACGGGCGACCAGUUCAGGGUGUGGCCCGCCUCCUGCCCGUUGACAGCUGGGAUAGGCUAAAGCACUCCCCGUGCCCCUCGUGAGGAUAAGCGGCUAAGAAAAUGGAUGAAUUCAGAAAUCAAAGUCUGGAAUGGUUCCUGCGCAACAUGGUGCGAACUGCCUUUCCCACAAGUUCUAACGUCAAACAGACGCGAGCCAACCUCCCGGCAAACGUUCACAUCGUCCGCCGAGCGGGAGGAGGAGGAGGGAAAAAGGAGUCUCAUCGCAUUAACGACGCCUGAAGAAUGUCCUCGCGCAGAUGUUUUUCUACUCGACCUUUAGGACGACCUGGAGCUGCGCAACGGCCGCCCAUAUGCGCCGACUUUCCACCGCUGUGAUUUCAUACUGUAAUGAGCCACUAUAAGCUGCAGAUGUUGUGUCAAAACUCGCCGAGGGGCGCCAUGGCAACGGGAUGAACACACAACCAGCGCGAAACACACAAAAAAUCAAUAUACCACACGUGUGCACACAUUCACGCAGGAAAAAAAAAAAAAAAAUACGUAACAGAUGAAACAAAAUGACACACGCGAGAGAAACCAAACAACAAACACAAAACAGGCACGCACAAAAACACGCGAGGGAAACAUGAACAAGCGCAACACACACACACACGGACACACAACUAGCAAAACAUGAAACAUAAACGGACGCACACUCGCACAGCUCGCCCAAGGUGAUUGCGUCGGCGCCCAGCUGCCCGCCGGCGACGUCACAA